AUGCACGCUGGCGGCGUGCCUAAUACAUGCCAGUCGAGCGAACAGACGAGGGGCUUGCUCCUCUGACGUUAGCGGCGGACGGGUGAGUAACACGUGGAUAACCUACCUAUAAGACUGGGAUAACUUCGGGAAACCGGAGCUAAUACCGGAUAAUAUAUUGAACCGCAUGGUUCAAUAGUGAAAGACGGUUUUGCUGUCACUUAUAGAUGGAUCCGCGCCGCAUUAGCUAGUUGGUAAGGUAACGGCUUACCAAGGCAACGAUGCGUAGCCGACCUGAGAGGGUGAUCGGCCACACUGGAACUGAGACACGGUCCAGACUCCUACGGGAGGCAGCAGUAGGGAAUCUUCCGCAAUGGGCGAAAGCCUGACGGAGCAACGCCGCGUGAGUGAUGAAGGUCUUCGGAUCGUAAAACUCUGUUAUUAGGGAAGAACAAAUGUGUAAGUAACUAUGCACGUCUUGACGGUACCUAAUCAGAAAGCCACGGCUAACUACGUG
rnacentral:rRNA from 1 species